GAUGAAGAACGUAGCGAAAUGCGAUAAGUAGUGUGAAUUGCAGACUUUAGUGAAUCAUCGAAUCUUUGAACGCACAUUGCGCCCCUUGGUAUUCCAUUGGGCAUGCCUGUUCGAGCGUCAUUUAACCCUUCAAGCUAUGCUUGGUGUUGGGCGCUUGUCCUCGUCAUCUGCGCGGACUCGCCCUAAAUCUAUUGGCAGCAGCUCAGCCAGCUUCUUGCGCAGCACAUUCGCGUCCAAGGCUUUUGGCGAGCUUGCGUCCACCUAAGGACCUUAUUUUUGACCUCGAAUCAGGUAGGGAUACCCGCUGAACUUAAGCAUAUCAAUAAGCGGAGGA
rnacentral:misc_RNA from 1 species